rnacentral:rRNA from 1 species
ACUGCUCAGUAACACGUGGACAACCUGCCCUUAGGACGGGGAUAAACCCGGGAAACUGGGUAUAAUACCCGAUAGGUCUCGAUUGCUGGAAUGCAUCGAGAUUUAAAGCUCCGGCGCCUAAGGAUGGGUCUGCGGCCUAUCAGGUAGUAGUGGGUGUAGCGUACCUACUAGCCUACGACGGGUACGGGUUGUGAGAGCAGGAGCCCGGAGAUGGAUUCUGAGACACGAAUCCAGGCCCUACGGGGUGCAGCAGGCGCGAAAACUUUACAAUGCUGGCAACAGCGAUAAGGGAACCUCGAGUGCCAGGUUACAGAUCUGGCUGUCGAGAUGCCUAAAAAGCAUUUCAUAGCAAGGGCCGGGCAAGACCGGUGCCAGCCGCCGCGGUAACACCGGCGGCUCGAGUGGUAACCGUUAUUAUUGGGUCUAAAGGGUCUGUAGCCGGCCGGAUAAGUCUCUUGAGAAAUCUGGCAGCUUAACUGUCAGGCUUUCAGGAGAUACUGUCUGGCUCGAGGCCGGGAGAGGUGAGAGGUACUUCAGGGGUAGGGGUGAAAUCUUGUAAUCCUUGAAGGACCACCAGUGGCGAAGGCGUCUCACCAGAACGGACCUGACGGCAAGGGACGAAAGCUAGGGGCACGAACCGGAUUAGAUACCCGGGUAGUCCUAGCCGUAAACGAUACUCGCUAGGUGUCGGCCACGGUGCGACCGUUGUCGGUGCCGUAGGGAAGCCGUGAAGCGAGCCACCUGGGAAGUACGGCCGCAAGGCUGAAACUUAAAGGAAUUGGCGGGGGAGCAC